rnacentral:rRNA from 1 species
UACGGAAGGGGCAAGCGUUGUUCGGAAUCAUUGGGCGUAAAGGGCGCGUAGGCGGUAGCACAAGUCAGUUGUGAAAUCUCCGGGCUUAACUCGGAAAGGUCAACUGAUACUGUGCGACUAGAGUGCAGAAGGGGCAACUGGAAUUCUCGGUGUAGCGGUGAAAUGCGUAGAUAUCGAGAGGAACACCUGCGGCGAAGGCGGGUUGCUGGGCUGACACUGACGCUGAGGCGCGAAAGCCAGGGGAGCGAACGGG